AGAGUUUGAUCAUGGCUCAGAACGUACGCUGGCGGCACGCCUAACACAUGCAAGUCGAACGCAGUAGCAAUACUGAGUGGCAAACGGGUGAGUAUAAUGUGGGAAUCUGCCUUUUGGUUUGGAAUAACACGGGGAAACUUGUGCUAAUACCGAAUAAGCCCUUACGGGGAAAGUUUUAACGCCGAAAGAUGAGCCCGCACUUGAUUAGCUAGUUGGUAAGGUAAAAGCUUACCAAGGCAAUGAUCAAUAGCUGUUCUUAGAGGAAGACCAGCCACAUUGGGACUGAGACACGGCCCAGACUCCUACGGGAGGCAGCAGUGGGGAAUCUUGCACAAUGGGGGAAACCCUGAUGCAGCGAUGCCGCGUGAGUGAAGAAGGCCCUUGGGUUGUAAAACUCUUUCGUCGGGGAAGAAAAUGACUGUACCCGAAUAAGAAGGUCCGGCUAACUUCGUGCCAGCAGCCGCGGUAAUACGAAGGGACCUAGCGUAGUUCGGAAUUACUGGGCUUAAAGAGUUCGUAGGUGGUUGAAAAAGUUGGUGGUGAAAUCCCAGAGCUUAACUCUGGAACUGCCAUCAAAACUUUUCAGCUAGAGUAUGAUAGAGGAAAGCAGAAUUUCUAGUGUAGAGGUGAAAUUCGUAGAUAUUAGAAAGAAUACCAAUUGCGAAGGCAGCUUUCUGGAUCAUUACUGACACUGAGGAACGAAAGCAUGGGUAGCGAAGAGGAUUAGAUACCCUCGUAGUCCAUGCCGUAAACGAUGUGUGUUAGACGUUGGAAAUUUAUUUUCAGUGUCGCAGCGAAAGCGAUAAACACACCGCCUGGGGAGUACGACCGCAAGGUUAAAACUCAAAUGAAUUGACGGGGACCCGCACAAGUAGUGGAGCAUGUGGUUUAAUUCGAAGAUACGCGCAGAACCUUACCAACACUUGACAUGUUCGUCGCGACUUUAAGAGAUUAAAGUUUUCGGUUCGGCCGGACGAAACACAGGUGCUGCAUGGCUGUCGUCAGCUCGUGUCGUGGGAUGUUGGGUUAAGUCCCGCAACGAGCGCAACCCUCACUUUUAGUUGCCAUCAUUAAGUUGGGCACUCUGAAAGAACUGCCAGUGAUAAGCUGGAGGAAGGUGGGGAUGACGUCAAGUCCUCAUGGCCCUUACGUGUUGGGCUACACACGUGCUACAAUGGUAUUUACAACAGGAAGCAAAACGGCGACGUUAAGCAAAUCCUUAAAAAAUACCUCAGUUCGGAUUGCACUCUGCAACUCGAGUGCAUGAAGCUGGAAUUACUAGUAAUCGUGGAUCAGCGUGCCACGGUGAAUGCGUUCCCNGGGUCUUGUACACACCGCCCGUAAU
rnacentral:rRNA from 1 species